rnacentral:tRNA from 1 species
UCCGUUGUAGUCUAGUUGGUUAGGAUACUCGGCUCUCGCCUGAGAGACCUGGGUUCAAGUCCCGGCAAUAA